CUGGACAUUGAGAUCGCCACCUAUAAGACUUUGCUGGAGGGUGAAGAGAGCAGGAUACGCACUGGGUGCCCUGUGAGAGUGUUGAUCACAACACCGUGCAACACCUCCUCUGGAUGCAGCACCAGCCUCGGACAUGGGCCUGGCACAGCGAGCAGAAAAUGCGGGUCCUCCCCUGGUGCCAGCAGAGCAUCCCAGCCUGGCAAUGAUGGCG
rnacentral:lncRNA from 1 species